AAAACCAUGGCAGUUGAUUCACUCUGGUUAUAAUUUAGGAACACGGAUGGCCUGGUUAUAAUUCAGGAACACGGAUGGCCGAGUGAAUAGGAUGUCAGAUCGCUAUUGGAAAGGUAUCUCUUUAACUUGUAUUGAAACCAACACAAAAUUACAGAUUCAACACCCAGUUUAUGAAGCCAAUUUCACGCCG